AACGAACGCUGGCGGCAUGCCUAACACAUGCAAGUCGAACGAGACCUUCGGGUCUAGUGGCGCACGGGUGCGUAACGCGUGGGAACCUGCCCUUAGGUUCGGAAUAACUCCCCGAAAGGGGUGCUAAUACCGGAUAAUGUCUUCGGACCAAAGAUUUAUCGCCUUUGGAUGGGCCCGCGUUGGAUUAGCUAGUUGGUAGGGUAAAAGCCUACCAAGGCGACGAUCCAUAGCUGGUCGGAGAGGAUGAUCAGCCACACUGGGACUGAGACACGGCCCAGACUCCUACGGGAAGCAGCAGUGGGGAAUAUUGGACAAUGGGCGAAAGCCUGAUCCAGCAAUGCCGCGUGAGUGAUGAAGGCCUUAGGGUUGUAAAGCUCUUUUACCCGGGAUGAUAAUGACAGUACCGGGAGAAUAAGCUCCGGCUAACUCCGUG
rnacentral:rRNA from 1 species